rnacentral:rRNA from 1 species
GACGAACGCUGGCGGCGUGCCUAAUACAUGCAAGUCGAGCGCAGGAAACUGACGGAACUCUUCGGAGGGAAGGCAGUGGAAUGAGCGGCGGACGGGUGAGUAACACGUAAGGAACCUGCCUCAAGGAUUGGGAUAACUCCGAGAAAUCGGAGCUAAUACCGGAUAGUUCAACGGACCGCAUGGUCCGCUGAUGAAAGGCGCUCCGGCGUCACCUUGAGAUGGCCUUGCGGUGCAUUAGCUAGUUGGUGGGGUAACGGCCCACCAAGGCGACGAAGCAGAGCCGAACUGGGGGGGUGAUCGGCCACACUGGGACUGAGACACGGCCCAGACUCCGACGGGAGGCAGCAGUAGGGAAUCUUCCACAAUGGACGAAAGUCUGAUGGAGCAACGCCGCGUGAGUGAUGAAGGUUUUCGGAUCGUAAAACUCUGUUGUAAGGGAAGAACACGUACGAGAGGAAAUGCUCGUACCUUGACGGUACCUUACGAGAAAGCCACGGCUAACUACGUGCCAGCCGCCGCAGUAAUAC